rnacentral:misc_RNA from 1 species
AAGUCGUAACAAGGUUUCCGUAGGUGAACCUGCGGAAGGAUCAUUAACACGUUUCGUUCCGAACGUUUUGACCCUCUCUUAUUUUCCGUGCACCCAAACGCGUCCGGCCUCCCAGCCGCUCACUGGGUUUACUCAGUGUUGCCUGUUGGGCGUCAUUCGGGAAUCAAAGGAAUGAAAGUUUGUGCUUCACCGCUCUGAACUUUCUUUUCUUCCUGUCUGGCGUUGCCACCUCACCCAAACCCUUUAAUCUAACUGAUCUGAACUUUUAGUUGAUGCGGAAGAAGUUUCUUUUUCCAAGUUAACGACUUGAACAAACAACAACUCUUAACAACGGAUAUCUUGGUUCUC